rnacentral:rRNA from 1 species
GAUGAACGCUGACAGAAUGCUUAACACAUGCAAGUCUACUUGAUCCUUCGGGUGAUGGUGGCGGACGGGUGAGUAACGCGUAAAGAACUUGCCCUGCAGUCUGGGACAACAUUUGGAAACGAAUGCUAAUACCGGAUAUUAUGCGAGAUUCGCAUGUUUCUCGUAUGAAAGCUAUAUGCGCUGCAGGAGAGCUUUGCGUCCUAUUAGCUAGUUGGUGAGGUAACGGCUCACCAAGGCGAUGAUAAGUAGCCGGCCUGAGAGGGUGAACGGCCACAAGGGGACUGAGACACGGCCCUUACUCCUACGGGAGGCAGCAGUGGGGAAUAUUGGACAAUGGACCAAAAGUCUGAUCCAGCAAUUCUGUGUGCACGAUGAAGUUUUUCGGAAUGUAAAGUGCUUUCAGUUGGGACGAAGUAAGUGACGGUACCAACAGAAGAAGCGACGGCUAAAUACGUGCCAGCAGCCGCGGUAAUACGUAUGUCGCAAGCGUUAUCCGGAUUUAUUGGGCGUAAAGCGCGUCUAGGCGGUUUGGUAAGUCUGAUGUGAAAAUGCGGGGCUCAACUCCGUAUUGCGUUGGAAACUGUCAAACUAGAGUACUGGAGAGGUGGGCGGAACUACAAGUGUAGAGGUGAAAUUCGUAGAUAUUUGUAGGAAUGCCGAUGGGGAAGCCAGCCCACUGGACAGAUACUGACGCUAAAGCGCGAAAGCGUGGGUAGCAAACAGGAUUAGAUACCCUGGUAGUCCACGCCGUAAACGAUGAUUACUAGGUGUUGGGGGUCGAACCUCAGCGCCCAAGCUAACGCGAUAAGUAAUCCGCCUGGGGAGUACGUACGCAAGUAUGAAACUCAAAGGAAUUGACGGGGACCCGCACAAGCGGUGGAGCAUGUGGUUUAAUUCGACGCAACGCGAGGAACCUUACCAGCGUUUGACAUCCUAGGAAGUUGGCAGAGAUGCCUUCGUGCCCCUUCGGGGGAACCUAGUGACAGGUGGUGCAUGGCUGUCGUCAGCUCGUGUCGUGAGAUGUUGGGUUAGGUCCCGCAACGAGCGCAACCCCUUUCGUAUGUUGCCAUCAUUAAGUUGGGAACUCAUGCGAUACUGCCUGCGAUGAGCAGGAGGAAGGUGGGGAUGACGUCAAGUCAUCAUGCCCCUUAUACGCUGGGCUACACACGUGCUACAAUGGGUAGUACAGAGAGUCGCUAACCUGCGAGGGGGAGCUAAUCUCAGAAAACUAUUCUCAGUUCGGAUUGUACUCUGCAACUCGAGUACAUGAAGUUGGAAUCGCUAGUAAUCGCAAAUCAGCUAUGUUGCGGUGAAUACGUUCUCGGGUCU